UAAGGGUCCGAAACCCGUGGCUUUCCUCUGUCCCUCUUAGCUCUGUCAUCUCUCAGCUUAUGUUCUCGCCGCCACUCGUCCUUUAGCUCUGUCUCUCAGCUCAUUCUCGCCCUUCGUCUCUCAGCUGCCGUUCUCGCCCCUCGUCUCUCUCAGCUCAAGCUUUCUCUUAAGUCACUCUUGUCUCUCAGCUUCUUCUUGUCUUGUCCCCACUCAUCAUGCUGCACUUUUCUUUCCUCCAGCUCCCUUUCUUCGCGAUAGAGGCCCCCACCAGAUCCAUUUAUUUUUCCUUCAUCCUUCAUCUUCUUCUUGUCUCAAUUCGAAGAUCCAACUUCCCUUAUUUUCUCGCUUCUUUUCCUCAGGACCCAACAAGCUCGUGGUCUACUCACUUUCUCCUGUUUCUUCAAAACCAUACAACUAGUGGUUUAUCUUCAAGCUCUCAUCAACUUCUAAAGUUCCAGCAGCUCUGUCAUCCAGAUAAAAAAAAGACAAUUUAAAUUGUGAACAACUUACUCAGCAUGAAGUGUGGGUUGAAGGACAACCAAAUUCAAAAGGUGAAGUUGAAGAUGAAGGUAUGAGGCAAGUUUGGCAGACUUGAUUAAGUAAAAGUAUUUAUGUUUAAAAUUUUAUUUAAAUGAUUUUAUUUCAUAAAUAAUUUGUUAUGAUCCUUAUAUAACAUCAACUUUGUCACAAAAAAGGCUAGAAGAAGCACGACAAUUUGGCCAUGAAGACAUCCUCAGUAGAGUAUUAAAUAUUCCCAAAGUCCCUAAUCGUGUUAUAGGAGUUGGUUUUGGUGUUAUCCAAACUACUUGUUUCGGGGGCUGAAAACGCUCAAACAAGAGUAUUAUUGUUGAGUUAAAAGAGGAAAUAAAUGCGUAUUUUAGCAACAAA